UGGGGAAUUUUGGACAAUGGGCGAAAGCCUGAUCCAGCAAUGCCGCGUGUGUGAAGAAGGCCUUCGGGUUGUAAAGCACUUUUGUCCGGAAAGAAAUCCUUGGCUCUAAUACAGUCGGGGGAUGACGGUACCGGAAGAAUAAGCACCGGCUAACUACGUGCCAGCAGCCGCGGUAAUACGUAGGGUGCAAGCGUUAAUCGGAAUUACUGGGCGUAAAGCGUGCGCAGGCGGUUUGCUAAGACCGAUGUGAAAUCCCGGGCUCAACCUGGGAACUGCAUUGGUGACUGGCAGGCUAGAGUAUGGCAGAGGGGGGUAGAAUUCCACGUGUAGCAGUGAAAUGCGUAGAGAUGUGGAGGAAUACCGAUGGCGAAGGCAGCCCCCUGGGCCAAUACUGACGCUCAUGCACGAAAGCGUGGGGAGCAAACAGGAUUAGAUACCCUGGUAGUCCACGCCCUAAAACGAUGUCAACUAGUUGUUGGGGAUUCAUUUCCUUAGUAACGUAGCUAACGCGUGAAGUUGACCGCCUGGGGAGUACGGUCGCAAGAUUAAAACUCAAAGGAAUUGACGGGGUCAUAGCUGUUUCCU
rnacentral:rRNA from 1 species